rnacentral:rRNA from 1 species
GAUGAACGCUGGCGGCGUGCCUAAUACAUGCAAGUCGAGCGAACAGACGAGGAGCUUGCUCCUCUGACGUUAGCGGCGGACGGGUGAGUAACACGUGGAUAACCUACCUAUAAGACUGGGAUAACUUCGGGAAACCGGAGCUAAUACCGGAUAAUAUAUUGAGCCGCAUGGUUCAAUAGUGAAAGACGGUUUUGCUGUCACUUAUAGAUGGAUCCGCGCCGCAUUAGCUAGUUGGUAAGGUAACGGCUUACCAAGGCAACGAUGCGUAGCCGACCUGAGAGGGGGAUCGGCCACACUGGAACUGAGACACGGUCCAGACUCCUACGGGAGGCAGCAGUAGGGAAUCUGCCGCAAUGGGCGAAAGCCUGACGGAGCAACGCCGCGUGAGUGAUGAAGGUCUUCGGAUCGUAAAACUCUGUUAUUAGGGAAGAACAAAUGUGUAAGUAACUAUGCACGUCUUGACGGUACCUAAUCAGAAAGCCACGGCUAACUACGUG